AAUACAAGUAGGUCUCCUGGCUGGAGGUUGCAGGUCCCCAGUUGACCCAAGCUGGGAGGAACAAUGAAGACCUCCUUGGGAGUUUUACUCAUGUUCUUGUGGCUGCACCUGGACUGGGUGAGCGGAGGGGAGACUUUGAAGAAGCAUCCUUCUACCCUGAGCGUCCAGGAAGGAAACAGCGCUGUUAUCAACUAUACUUAUUCAGACAGCUCCUCAAGCUACUUCCCCUGGUAUAAGCAAGUGCCUGGAAAAGGUCCAGAGUUGAUUAUAGACAUUCGUUCAAAUAAGGACACAAAGAAAGACCAAAGACUUACUGUGUUGUUGAAUAAGGCAGCCAAGCACCUCUCCCUGCACAUUGAGGACACCCAGCCUGGAGACUCGGCUGUUUACUUCUGCGCAGAGAGUACACAUUGCUUCCCAGGCACGUGCCGCCUGUACUCAAACAUGUGACGGGGUAGUCCCCUUCCUCUGGCAAGGACCUUCACGUAGAGCCUUUGUCAUAUUGUUUGUCUGCAAGUGAAAACGAAUGUAUUGGCCAUUAGAAGCAUUUACUAAGAAGAUUAGGCUUAAGACGACCCAGAGACAUUUUGUUGGAUGACUGUUGUUAAUGGAUUCUUGAAGCGAGUUAGCAACGUUUUAUUUUGAAAUUCAGGCUUUAAGGAUGACUUUACAUUUGCUAUUGACAUUCAUCUCCUAUAAAUAAAUCCUAGUGACUAUAUUACA